rnacentral:rRNA from 1 species
AGCGUACACGGUGGAUGCCCUGGCAGUCAGAGGCGAUGAAGGGCGUGCUAAUCUGCGAUAAGCGCCGGUAAGGUGAUAUGAACCGUUAUAACCGGCGAUACCCGAAUGGGGAAACCCAGUGUGACUCGUCACACUAUCAUUAACUGAAUCCAUAGGUUAAUGAGGCGAACCGGGGGAACUGAAACAUCUAAGUACCCCGAGGAAAAGAAAUCAACCGAGAUUCCCCCAGUAGCGGCGAGCGAACGGGGAGGAGCCCAGAGCCUGAAUCAGCAUGUGUGUUAGUGGAAGCGUCUGGAAAGGCGCGCGAUACAGGGUGACAGCCCCGUACACAAAAGCGCAUGUGCUGUGAGCUCGAUGAGUAGGGCGGGACACGUGGUAUCCUGUCUGAAUAUGGGGGGACCAUCCUCCAAGGCUAAAUACUCCUGACUGACCGAUAGUGAACCAGUACCGUGAGGGAAAGGCGAAAAGAACCCCGGCGAGGGGAGUGAAAAAGAACCUGAAACCGUGUACGUACAAGCAGUGGGAGCCCCACCACUAAGCCAGUGGUGAACUCCACAUACGCAUCCUUUGCUGAGGAUACGGUUAACGGAGCGAAAGCGACGUUCAACCUCAAAAGAAGCAGAGGGGGCUUAGUGGUGGGGUGACUGAAAAAGAACCUGAAACCGUGUACGUACAAGCAGUGGGAGCACCCUUUGGGGUGUGACUGCGUACCUUUUGUAUAAUGGGUCAGCGACUUAUAUUCUGUAGCAAGGUUAACCGAAUAGGGGAGCCGGAGGGAAACCGAGUCUUAAUUGGGCGUUAAGUUGCAGGGUAUAGACCCGAAACCCGGUGAUCUAGCCAUGGGCAGGUUGAAGGUUGGGUAACACUAACUGGAGGACCGAACCGACUAAUGUUGAAAAAUUAGCGGAUGACCUGUGGCUGGGGGUGAAAGGCCAAUCAAACCGGGAGAUAGCUGGUUCUCCCCGAAAGCUAUUUAGGUAGCGCCUCGUGAAUUCAUCUCCGGGGGUAGAGCACUGUUUCGGCUAGGGGGCCAUCCCGGCUUACCAACCCGAUGCAAACUGCGAAUACCGGAGAAUGUUAUCACGGGAGACACACGGCGGGUGCUAACGUCCGUCGUGAAGAGGGAAACAACCCAGACCGCCAGCUAAGGUCCCAAAGUCAUGGUUAAGUGGGAAACGAUGUGGGAAGGCCCAGACAGCCAGGAUGUUGGCUUAGAAGCAGCCAUCAUUUAAAGAAAGCGUAAUAGCUCACUGGUCGAGUCGGCCUGCGCGGAAGAUGUAACGGGGCUAAACCAUGCACCGAAGCUGCGGCAGCGACGUUUAUGCGUUGUUGGGUAGGGGAGCGUUCUGUAAGCCUGCGAAGGUGGCCUGUGAGGGUUGCUGGAGGUAUCAGAAGUGCGAAUGCUGACAUAAGUAACGAUAAAGCGGGUGAAAAGCCCGCUCGCCGGAAGACCAAGGGUUCCUGUCCAACGUUAAUCGGGGCAGGGUGAGUCGACCCCUAAGGCGAGGCCGAAAGGCGUAGUCGAUGGGAAACGGGUUAAUAUUCCCGUACUUGGUGUUACUGCGAAGGGGGGACGGAGAAGGCUAUGUUGGCCGGGCGACGGUUGUCCCGGUUUAAGCGUGUAGGCUGGUUUUCCAGGCAAAUCCGGAAAAUCAAGGCUGAGGCGUGACGACGAGGCACUACGGUGCUGAAGCAACAAAUGCCCUGCUUCCAGGAAAAGCCUCUAAGCAUCAGGUAACAUCAAAUCGUACCCCAAACCGACACAGGUGGUCAGGUAGAGAAUACCAAGGCGCUUGAGAGAACUCGGGUGAAGGAACUAGGCAAAAUGGUGCCGUAACUUCGGGAGAAGGCACGCUGACAUGUAGGUGAAGUGAUUUACUCAUGGAGCUGAAGUCAGUCGAAGAUACCAGCUGGCUGCAACUGUUUAUUAAAAACACAGCACUGUGCAAACACGAAAGUGGACGUAUACGGUGUGACGCCUGCCCGGUGCCGGAAGGUUAAUUGAUGGGGUCAGCGCAAGCGAAGCUCCUGAUCGAAGCCCCGGUAAACGGCGGCCGUAACUAUAACGGUCCUAAGGUAGCGAAAUUCCUUGUCGGGUAAGUUCCGACCUGCACGAAUGGCGUAAUGAUGGCCAGGCUGUCUCCACCCGAGACUCAGUGAAAUUGAACUCGCUGUGAAGAUGCAGUGUACCCGCGGCAAGACGGAAAGACCCCGUGAACCUUUACUAUAGCUUGACACUGAACAUUGAGCCUUGAUGUGUAGGAUAGGUGGGAGGCUUUGAAGCGUGGACGCCAGUCUGCGUGGAGCCGACCUUGAAAUACCACCCUUUAAUGUUUGAUGUUCUAACGUGGACCCGUAAUCCGGGUUGCGGACAGUGUCUGGUGGGUAGUUUGACUGGGGCGGUCUCCUCCUAAAGAGUAACGGAGGAGCACGAAGGUUGGCUAAUCCUGGUCGGACAUCAGGAGGUUAGUGCAAUGGCAUAAGCCAGCUUGACUGCGAGCGUGACGGCGCGAGCAGGUGCGAAAGCAGGUCAUAGUGAUCCGGUGGUUCUGAAUGGAAGGGCCAUCGCUCAACGGAUAAAAGGUACUCCGGGGAUAACAGGCUGAUACCGCCCAAGAGUUCAUAUCGACGGCGGUGUUUGGCACCUCGAUGUCGGCUCAUCACAUCCUGGGGCUGAAGUAGGUCCCAAGGGUAUGGCUGUUCGCCAUUUAAAGUGGUACGCGAGCUGGGUUUAGAACGUCGUGAGACAGUUCGGUCCCUAUCUGCCGUGGGCGCUGGAGAACUGAGGGGGGCUGCUCCUAGUACGAGAGGACCGGAGUGGACGCAUCACUGGUGUUCGGGUUGUCAUGCCAAUGGCACUGCCCGGUAGCUAAAUGCGGAAGAGAUAAGUGCUGAAAGCAUCUAAGCACGAAACUUGCCCCGAGAUGAGUUCU